rnacentral:lncRNA from 1 species
CGCGUCCCGUUGCCGGGUGCGGCGGUGCCGCCAUGGCCGCGGUCGGAGCCGGGCCGGCACGGGCUGGUGCUUUCGGACAGUGCCGGAACCGGCACUUCCCUCCCCGGACCGGCCUCUCCUGCCUCGGCAGAGCAGCCAGGACACCCCGGGUUAUCCCUCAGCACCGCGGGUCAGCUCUCGGCUGAGGCGCGAUUGUGCUGAGGGGACGGGGGAUGCCCGGGGGUUCGGCCCUGCCUGAGGGGCAGCGGCUGGUGCGUGUCGGAACAGCGCUUGGACUGUGAAUACUGCGGGUUUUGAGACCUUGGAAGUGCUUAGUUAACAAAAAUACAGGGUUUUGACAUGCGCCGGUGUGUUCUCCUCACAGGCUACCUGGAGUUUCUAUCUCUCGUUAAAGGCUUUUGAGAUCCCUGCCCUGUGAAAGCAGCUGUGCCAUGAGUGUGAGAUGUGUGAGGAAACAUCACUCUUUUAAAUCUCAAUCCUGAAGUUUUUGUCACUGCUUCGUGAGAUUCAAGACCUUCAGAAGCUUAAAAUGGAAAAAAACAACUUGAAAGGAGAUGCAGAAGCCGUGGAUAUUUGUGACCUCAGAAAAGCAACUGAAAGGACUGAACUUGGGCUGAGAAAACACGCUGAAAAUUAUAUAAAUGUUGUAAAUGGCCAAGAGUUAACUCUUUCUUCAGCUGGUAAUAAAGAAGAAAAUUCCAAAGAGCCCCCUAAGUGGAGUCUCCCUUUUGGUGCCUGUCAGAAGCAGCUGGUCUUGCCACGAGUUGAGCCCGUGACUGUCCAGAGGUGCAGCAAAUCAGCCCCACGUGUGUGCCAGGGCUCUCAGGUCUGAAAUCACACCCUGAUUGU